CUAAUAGAUACUCUAUAUACAACAUCAUUAAAUAAAUGUUCAUUAUAUAUGGGAAUUCACUUGAAAGGAAUGCGGUACAUAAGAAUCUACCCAGCAGAAAGACAGAACUUGGACUUGGCCAUGGAGGCUGAGUAAGAGUCGAUGUUAGCUUGAUCCAUUUGCUGUAUCUAUAAAAAGGCUGAUGCAAUUCAAAUGUCAAUUGCGUUGACUUUAGUUGAUAUAGUGAUCUGUUCUGUAUUGUUCCAAUCCGUUCCGAUCUGAUCCGUUUGCUGCUGUCGAUUUAUAUGUGUAUGCUGUAAACUAUGUAUAUGCAGCUAAUUGCAUAUUUCGGAAGUUCUAUAAAGGCAUUGAGGUGGACGAAUUCUAGCGGUGCUACUAAUUAACCUCUAAAAGGCAACAGCAGCCAUAGACGAGGGAGUGUUUGGGCAAUUAGAGAACAUUCUUAAGCCCCUCGACAAUGAACUGUUGCCAAUCAAGCAACAAAGACAUCUAAAAAACAAGACACUAAAUGUUCUAAGCAAAAUACCUUAUGUCUAAUAAUACGCGCGUUAAGCGCAAUUAUCUAGAUACAUAUACCUUGUAUAUCACUCUUUGCUUCGUCUAUCUGUCUGCUUGUUAUAGCGACCACAAAAAAGCCAAACAACUUGUUUAAACAGUGCAUAAACCAACACCCAGAUAAUUAUGACAAAAGCUCCAGUGUCAAUAAGAGUAAAACAACAUUGUGGAAAUCCAAAUAAUUUGUGCAAAAAUAACGCCUUUAUUUUGCUGGGGAAUUUAUACCCUUCCACGAAAUAUGAGUUAACGCAGCAAUGUGGGUAAGUGAAAAUAAAGAAUUCACAUAUACGAUUUUUAUACCCUCUUAAAAUAAAUUUGUUUACCGUUGUUUGAGAGAUGAUAACCGAACCCAUUUAAUAUA